GCUGUACUCACUCUCACUACUGUCACUCACACUCUGUGGAUUACACACAAACCUGACAUAAACCAUGAAUUUGACAGACCUCUUUCGUAGGUGGUCUAAAGAGUGUGUGUAUCUGCGCACGUGAUUGUGUCACCCCAGGUCAAGUUGUUGUGUGUCCAUCCUGUAAUAGGGGGCUAAAGUCUUCUCUAAUCUGUCUCAUAGACUGGCUAACUAAUACUUGAUGAACCACUCAAUGCUACAACUCUCCACAUGCAGGCCAACUUAUUAGAUGUGUAAUGAGAGAUUCCAUGUCCAUCUCCCCCAUGUUAAGGCAUAUGGAUAAUGGUAUCAUGGAGAGUAUUGUUAUUGGGUUAUUAUUGGUGGGCUAUGAUGAAUGAGAAGAAGGAAGUAGAGGAGUGGUAGAGGGAGAGAUGCAUGAGGAGAAGGAAGUAGAGGAGUGGUAGAGGGAGAGAUGCAUGAGGAGAAGGAAGUAGAGGAGUGUGGUAGGGAGAGAUGAAUGAGGAGAAGGAAGUAGAGGAGUGAAGGGAGAGAUGAGUGAGGAGAAGGAAGUAGAGGAGUGGUAGAGGGAGAGAUGAGUGAGGAGAAGGAAGUAGAGGAGUGGUAGAUGGAGAGAUGGGUGAGAAGGAAGUAGAGGAGUGGUAGAGGGAGAGAUGAAUGAGGAGAAGGAAGUAGAGGAGUGGUAGAGAGAGAUGAAUGAGGAGAAGGAAGUAGAGGAGUGGUAGAGGGAGAGAUGAGUGAGGAGAAGGAAGUAGAGGAGUGGUAGAGGGAGAGAUGAGUGAGGAGAAGGAAGUAGAGGAGUGGUAGAGGGAGAG
ensembl:lncRNA